AAUGGCAGGUCAGCAUACUGCCGUGAAUACGUUCCUGGGCCUUGUACACACCGCCCGUCACACCAUGAGAGUUGGGAAUACCCGAAGCCUGUGAGCUAACGCAAGAGGCAGCAGUCGAAGGUAGAAUCAAUGAUUGGGGUGAAGUCGUAACAAGGUAAC
rnacentral:rRNA from 1 species